rnacentral:rRNA from 1 species
GUAGGGAAUCUUGCGCAAUGGGCGAAAGCCUGACGCAGCCAUGCCGCGUGAAUGAUGAAGGUCUUAGGAUUGUAAAAUUCUUUCACCGGGGACGAUAAUGACGGUACCCGGAGAAGAAGCCCCGGCUAACUCCGUGCCAGCAGCCGCGGUAAUACGGAGGGUGCAAGCGUUAUCCGGAAUCACUGGGUUUAAAGGGUACGUAGGCGGUUAAUUAAGUCAGUAGUGAAAGACUGUCGCUCAACGACGGAUGUGCUAUUGAUACUGGUUAACUUGAAUCAGGUUAGAGUUGGCGGAAUGGGUCAUGUAGCGGUGAAAUGCUUAGAUAUGACUUGGAACACCGAUAGCGAAGGCAGCUGACUGAGCCUUGAUUGACGCUGAGGUACGAAAGUGUGGGUAGCGAACAGGAUUAGAUACCCGUGUAGUCC